rnacentral:rRNA from 1 species
CUACGGGUCGCAGCAGUGAGGAAUUUUGCGCAAUGGGGGAAACCCUGACGCAGCAACGCCGCGUGAGCGAAGAAGGCCUUCGGGUCGUAAAGCUCUGUCAAGUGGGAAAAAAAUUCUUUGAUGAACAGUCAAAGGACUUGAUGGUACCACUGGAGGAAGCACCGGCUAACUCCGUGCCAGCAGCCGCGGUAAUACGGAGGGUGCAAGCGUUGUUCGGAAUUACUGGGCGUAAAGAGCGUGUAGGCGGGUUGACAAGUCAGAUGUGAAAGCCCCGGGCUCAACCCGGGAAGUGCAUUUGAAACUGUUUCACUAGAGUAUGGGAGAGGGGAGUGGAAUUCCUGGUGUAGAGGUGAAAUUCGUAGAUAUCAGGAGGAACACCCGUGGCGAAGGCGAUUCUCUGGACCAAUACUGACGCUGAGACGCGAAAGCGUGGGGAGCAAACAGGAUUAGAUACCCCCGUAGUC